CCUUGUACACACCGCCCGUCACACCACGAAAGUCAGUUGCAACAGAAGCUGCUCUCUGAGCAACCAAGUUGUGAUUGGUGAUUGGGGGUG
rnacentral:rRNA from 1 species